GUGAGGAAUUUUCCGCAAUGGGCGAAAGCCUGACGGAGCAAUGCCGCGUGAAGGAUGAAGGCCUAUGGGUUGUAAACUUCUUUUCUCAGAAAAGAAUUAUGACGGUAUCUGAGGAAUAAGCAUCGGCUAACUCUGUGCCAGCAGCCGCGGCAAGACAGAGGAUGCAAGCGUUAUCCGGAAUGAUUGGGCGUAAAGCGUCUGUAGGUUGUUUAAAAAGUAUUCUGUCAAAGAUUAGGGCUUAACCCUAGAUAGGCAGAAUAAACUUUUAAGCUAGAGUUUGGUAGAGGCAGAGGGAAUUCCCGGUGGAGCGGUGAGAUGCGUAGAGAUCGAGAGGAACACCAAAGGCGAAGGCACUCUGCUGGGCCAAUACUAACACUGAGAGACGAAAGCGAGGGGAGCAAAUGGGAUUAGAAACCCGUGUAGUCC
rnacentral:rRNA from 1 species